CCUACUUUCGGGUUGUACCAGUCAAAUUGUGGGGAUGGAGGCAGCUCCCGCCACCUUAGCAUCCAGGUCACAGCAAAGUUCAAGGAACUUAUGGUAAAGAUCAAUCACACUUAUGGCACUGCCAACAGAAGCACAUGCUUGUGGAAAAUAGCGUAAAAGAAUUUUAAGGAGGAGAGCUGGGCUCUGAAUUACACCGGAGGCAGAGCGUCUGGACAGUUUUCAUCAGAAGCCACGUCCUAGAGGUAGCGAGCUGUAAACAGUCGUUAAAAGCAACGGAGGAAUGUGUUAGGGUGGGCCCAGGAAGGUGUCAGGCCACGGCGGGCACGUGAGGGAAUGGGCACAGCCUUCAUUGUAGGCACAGAAGCUGGAGCCAGCGGGAGGAGGCAAGCGGGCAACCGAACAGAAUGAUGAGAAAAACCGAAGCUCAGGGAACAUUUCCAAGACCAAGAGCUGAGAACGCUGCGGAGCUGAAAUUUAAAUCCAGUUUGUCAGACCCCCCCAAUCCGACAUUGUCCCCUCGUCCUGCCAUGGCCCAUAUCCCAGGAGGACCUGUCACCAUCCUCCACCUUGCCCAGGCUAUCCUAUGGAUGCACUCCUCCCACCAUCUGCUCUCCCAAGCUCUGCUGAAACCCCCCUGCCUAGAACAAUUUGCUUCGUAGCUGACUUUCCAUAAACAUUCAUACAAUGGAUACAGAAAUGACACAGAGGCAUAUUUAUGUCAACAGGAGGCCAAAUCACUGCUGGGUGAGUGACCCACUGCUAGGAAGAUGCCCAGACGCCAACUGGGAAAAGCUUGGCCAAGCCAAUCAGGUGCUGCCAGAGCCUUCUUUGUGAUAGCAAUGCCAACCCAUGAACUAAUACCCUCCUUUGGGAGAGAUGCUGACACGCCAAGGAAACUAAUGUUUUUAUCUCAGCUGACUCAUUUGCUGAGAACAACAGGUUUAUAAGGCAACUCUUAGCUUGACCCACUCUACUCCUCCAUCAAAAUAAAGAAAUAAAUAAAGUUUUCAAACUAAAGAGCAUUAAAGAAUGAUAACUUUUCUUUUUCUUGGUACUAUCUAUUGACCUAUACCUGGUUUUCACUGUAACACAUUUGUGGUAUGAAAAAUGACAAUAUGAUGUCAGAGAAAAUGAGAG
rnacentral:lncRNA from 10 species